GAGACCCCUGCUUCUAGUUGCUACUCCUGUUCUCCGGAAUAGGAGGGCUAAUUAGAAGGACUGCCGCCGCUAAGGCGGAGGAAGGAGGGGGCUACGGCAGGUCAGUAUGCCCCGAAACCCUCGGGCCACACGCGGGCUGCAAUGGUAAGUACAAUGGGUACCAAUUCCGAAAGGAGGUGGCAAUCUCGCAAAACUUACCUCAGUUAUGAUUGAGGGCUGAAACUCGCCCUCAUGAAUAUGGAAUCCCUAGUAACCGCGUGUCAUCAUCGCGCGGUGAAUAC
rnacentral:rRNA from 1 species